CUCUCUGCCUGCCUCUCUGCCUACUUGUGAUCUCUGUCAAAUAAAUAAAUAAAAUCUUUAAAAAAAAUAAACGGAUUUUUGGAGUAAGGAGUUGGAAUAGGAGCUUGCUCCGUCCACUCCACGCAUCGACCUGGUAUUGCAGUACCUCCAGGAACAGUGCACCCUCC
rnacentral:snRNA from 1 species